rnacentral:rRNA from 1 species
AGGACGAACGCUGGCGGCGUGCUUAACACAUGCAAGUCGAGCGGAAAGGCCCUUCGGGGUACUUCGAGCGGCGAACGGGUGAGUAACACGUGAGUAAUCUGCCUUCAGCUCUGGGAUAGCUCCGGGAAACCGGGAUUAAUACCGGAUAUGACCACUUCGGACAUCUGUUGUGGUGGAAAGUUUUUCGGCUGGAGAUGAGCUCGCGGCCUAUCAGCUUGUUGGUGGGGUAAAGGCCUACCAAGGCGACGACGGGUAGCCGGCCUGAGAGGGCGACCGGCCACACUGGGACUGAGACACGGCCCAGACUCCUACGGGAGGCAGCAGUGGGGAAUAUUGCGCAAUGGGCGGAAGCCUGACGCAGCGACGCCGCGUGGGGGAUGAAGGCCUUCGGUUGUAACCCUUUCAGCAGGGACGAAGCGCAGUGACGGUACCUGCAGAAGAAGCGCCGGCUAACUACGUGCCAGCAGCCGC